rnacentral:rRNA from 1 species
CACGGAGGGUGCGAGCGUUGUCCGGAAUCACUGGGCGUAAAGGGCGCGUAGGCGGCCUGGUAAGUAGGGGGUGAAAUCCUGCGGCUUAACCGCAGGGCUGCCUUCUAAACUGUCAGGCUGGAGCACAGUAGAGGCAGGUGGAAUUCCCGGUGUAGCGGUGGAAUGCGUAGAGAUCGGGAAGAACAUCAGUGGCGAAGGCGGCCUGCUGGGCUGUUGCUGACGCUGAGGCGCGACAGCGUGGGGAGCAAACAGG